rnacentral:rRNA from 1 species
UCAAGAAACUUCCACAAUGGGCGAAAGCCUGAUGGAGCGACGUCGCGUGAUGGACGAAGUGCUUCGGCACGUAAACAUCUUUUAUGUGGGAUGAAAUUAUUGACAGUACCACAUGAAUAAGGGGCUCCUAACUCUGUGCCAGCAGGAGCGGUAAUACAGAGGCCCCAAGCGUUAUCCGGAAUCACUGGGCGUAAAGGGUGUCGAGGCGGUUGUAUUAGUCGUUCGUAAAAAUCUACGAGCUUAACUUGUAGGCGGCGAACGAAACGGUACGACUUGAGGUUUGGAGAGGUGCGUGGAACUCACGGUGUAGGGGUGAAAUCCGUUGAUAUCGUGGGGAACACCAAAGGCGAAGGCAGCGCACUGGCCAAAAUCUGACGCUCACACACGAAAGCUAGGGUAGCGAAGAGGAUUAGAUACCCCCGUAGUCCCUGA